UGAUGUGAGGAUGAUCUGGCUGUGACAUCUGGCUGGCUAGGCGGGUGUCCCCUUCCUCCCUCACCACUCCAUGUGUGGCCCUCCCGAAGCUGCGUGCUCAGUCUAAGAGGACGAUCUUCCCUGAUAGAGGAGGACCAUUCCUCAGUCAAGGGUAUAGGAGUGGCUGUGCUCCCCUGCUAGAACCUCCAAACAAGCUCUCAAAUCUUUUGCCCUCUUUUUAUUGAGUCGUCUUUUUUCUUAUUAUUGAAUUUUAAGGGGUUUUUAUAUAUUCUGGAACAAGUCAUUUAUCGAAUAUAUGAUUUGCAAAUAUU
rnacentral:snRNA from 1 species